rnacentral:piRNA from 1 species
UGAGAGGGACUGCAAGACCACUACUGGCA